GCUUAACACAUGCAAGUCGAACGAAUGAAGCCCUUCGGGUGGAUUAGUGGCGAACGGGUGAGKWACACCGUGGGCAAAUCUGCCCUGCACUCUGGGACAAGCCCUGGAAACGGGGUCUAAUACCGGAUAAUACUGUUCCCCUCAUGGGGGGUGGUUGAAAGCUCCGGCGGUGCAGGAUGAGCCCGCGGCCUAUCAGCUUGUUGGUGGGGUGAUGGCCUACCAAGGCGACGACGGGUAGCCGGCCUGAGAGGGCGACCGGCCACACUGGGACUUGAGACACGGCCCAGACUCCUACGGGAGGCAGCAGUGGGGAAUAUUGCACAAUGGGCGGAAGCCUGAUGCAGCGACGCCGCGUGAGGGAUGACGGCCUUCGGGUUGUAAACCUCUUUCAGCAGGGAAGAAGCGCAAGUGACGGUACCWRMAGAAGAAGCGCCGGCUAACWACGUGCCAGCAGCCGCGGUAAYAMGGGNAACUNCG
rnacentral:rRNA from 1 species